rnacentral:tRNA from 1 species
GGAGGGUUUAGCUCAGCAGUAGAGCAUGUGCUUCUCAUGCACAGGGUCCUGGGUUCAAUCCCCAGUACCUCCA